rnacentral:rRNA from 1 species
GAUUGAACGCUGGCGGUAUGCUUAACACAUGCAAGUCGAACGGAAACGAUACUAGCUUGCUAGUAGGCGUCGAGUGGCGGACGGGUGAGUAACGCGUAGGAAUCUGCCUGAUAGUGGGGGAUAGCCCGAAGAAAUUCGGAUUAAUACCGCAUAAUCUAUUCGUAGUAAAGUGGGGGACUUUCGAGCCUCACGCUAUCAGAUGAGCCUGCGUAAGAUUAGCUUGUUGGUAGGGUAAAAGCCUACCAAGGCGACGAUCUUUAGCUGGUCUGAGAGGAUGAUCAGCCACAUCGGGACUGAGACACGGCCCGAACUCCUACGGGAGGCAGCAGUGGGGAAUAUUGGACAAUGGGGGCAACCCUGAUCCAGCAAUACCGCGUGUGUGAAGAAGGCCUGAGGGUUGUAAAGCACUUUCAAUUGUGAAGAAAAGUUAGCGGUUAAUAACUGUUAGCCUUGACGUUAACUUUAGAAGAAGCACCGGCUAACUCCGUGCCAGCAGCCGCGGUAAUACGGAGGGUGCAAGCGUUAAUCGGAAUUACUGGGCGUAAAGCGUGCGUAGGCGGUUUAUUAAGUCAGAUGUGAAAGCCCCGGGCUUAACCUGGGAACUGCAUUUGAAACUGGUCAACUAGAGUAUGGUAGAGGAAAGUGGAAUUUCUGGUGUAGCGGUGAAAUGCGUAGAUAUCAGAAGGAACAUCAAUGGCGAAGGCAGCUUUCUGGACCAAUACUGACGCUGAGGUACGAAAGCGUGGGUAGCAAACAGGAUUAGAUACCCUGGUAGUCCACGCCGUAAACGAUGAUAACUAGCCGUUGGGGGGAUUUACCCUUUAGUGGCGAAGCUAACGCGUUAAGUUAUCCGCCUGGGGAGUACGGCCGCAAGGUUAAAACUCAAAGGAAUUGACGGGGACCCGCACAAGCGGUGGAGCAUGUGGUUUAAUUCGAUGCAACGCGAAGAACCUUACCUGGUCUUGACAUCCUGCGAACUUUCUAGAAAUAGAUUGGUGCCUUCGGGAACGCAGUGACAGGUGCUGCAUGGCUGUCGUCAGCUCGUGUCGUGAGAUGUUGGGUUAAGUCCCGUAACGAGCGCAACCCCUAUCCUUAUUUGCCAGCACAUCAUGGUGGGAACUAUAAGGAGACUGCCGGUGAUAAACCGGAGGAAGGCGGGGACGACGUCAAGUCAUCAUGGCCCUUACGACCAGGGCUACACACGUGCUACAAUGGGAAGGACAAAGAGCCGCGAAGCCGCGAGGUGUAGCUAAUCUCAUAAACCUUUUCGUAGUCCGGAUUGGAGUCUGCAACUCGACUCCAUGAAGUCGGAAUCGCUAGUAAUCGUAGAUCAGAAUGCUACGGUGAAUACGUUCCCGGGUCUUGUACACACCGCCC